rnacentral:tRNA from 1 species
UCCCCUGUAGCUCAAUUGGCAGAGCGCUUGGCUGUUAACCAGGAUGUUCGUGGUUCGAGUCCACGCGGGGGAGCCA